AGUGAACGCUGGCGGUAGGCCUAACACAUGCAAGUCGAACGGCAGCACAGUAAGAGCUUGCUCUUACGGGUGGCGAGUGGCGGACGGGUGGGGAAUACAUCGGAAUCUACUUUUUCGUGGGGGAUAACGUAGGGAAACUUACGCUAAUACCGCAUACGACCUACGGGUGAAAGCAGGGGAUCUUCGGACCUUGCGCGAUUGAAUGAGCCGAUGUCGGAUUAGCUAGUUGGCGGGGUAAAGGCCCACCAAGGCGACGAUCCGUAGCUGGUCUGAGAGGAUGAUCUGCCACACUGGAACUGAGACACGGUCCAGACUCCUACUGGAGGCAGCAGUGGGGAAUAUUGGACAAGGGGCGCAAGCCUGAUCCAGCCAUACCGCGUGGGUGAAGAAGGCCUUCGGGUUGUAAAGCCCUUUUGUUGGGAAAGAAAAGCAGCAGGUUAAUACCCCGCUGUUCUGACGGUACCCAAAGAAUAAGCACCGGCUAACUUCGUG
rnacentral:rRNA from 1 species